GGUGGGACUGCCUUGGGUAGAGGCAAACACUGUCUGCCCCAGCGAAUGUGCACAUGGCCAGGACCCCUCACCACAGCCUGGGGACUGCCCACCUCGUCAGAGCCUGGCACAGCCCGGGCCUGUGCGGCAGCAGCACAUUGCAUCCAGGAGGCAAUGUCCGAGUGGGCAGGGCAGCUCCCUGCACCUGCAGGCCCCUCGGCUAGACUGGACAGUGCCAUCCACCUGGCUCACUGGCCCACAUGCCACGCUGGGGGGUGAGCCAGGAUAGGGAGUCCAACUUGUUCACAGAGGAAGGACAUCAGGCCAGGAUGGGCCUAUGGGUUAGCUCACCACCCCGCUCUUUGUUCUCAAACAGCCAGAUCGUAAGCCCCAUGAAGCCAAACUCAGACCUCAAACCAGGGUCACAGAAACUUCUGAUAGUCAGUGCUGGUGCUCGGCAGGCUCUCAUGCUCUGAGAAGAGCUCCCUCAUGCCUGGGGACCACCAAAAGGCACGAGCCUUCACCAGGGUGCCGCUGGGACCAAGAUGUU